UACGGGGGGGGCAAGCGUUGUUCGGAAUUACUGGGCGUAAAGGGCGCGUAGGCGGCCUGCUAAGUCGGAUGUGAAAUCCCUCGGCUCAACCGAGGAACUGCAUCCGAUACUGGCGGGCUUGAAUCCGGGAGAGGGAUGUGGAAUUCCAGGUGUAGCGGUGAAAUGCGUAGAUAUCUGGAGGAACACCGGUGGCGAAGGCGGCAUCCUGGACCGACAUUGACGCUGAGGCGCGAAAGCCAGGGGAGCAAACGGG
rnacentral:rRNA from 1 species